rnacentral:rRNA from 1 species
AUUGAACGCUGGCGGCAUGCCUUACACAUGCAAGUCGAACGGUAACAGGUUAAGCUGACGAGUGGCGAACGGGUGAGUAAUGUAUCGGAACGUGCCCAGUCGUGGGGGAUAACUGCUCGAAAGAGCAGCUAAUACCGCAUACGACCUGAGGGUGAAAGCGGGGGAUCGCAAGACCUCGCGCGAUUGGAGCGGCCGAUAUCAGAUUAGGUAGUUGGUGAGGUAAAGGCUCACCAAGCCGACGAUCUGUAGCUGGUCUGAGAGCACGACCAGCCACACUGGGACUGAGACACGGCCCAGACUCCUACGGGAGGCAGCAGUGGGGAAUUUUGGACAAUGGGCGCAAGCCUGAUCCAGCCAUGCCGCGUGCGGGAAGAAGGCCUUCGGGUUGUAAACCGCUUUUGUCAGGGAAGAAAAGGUUCUGGCUAAUACCUGGGACUCAUGACGGUACCUGAAGAAUAAGCACCGGCUAACUACGUG